CCUUAGUACGGCGAGUGAAGCGGCAAAAGCUCAAAUUUGAAAUCUGGUACCUUCGGUGCCCGAGUUGUAAUUUGGAGAGGGCAACUUUGGGGCCGUUCCUUGUCUAUGUUCCUUGGAACAGGACGUCAUAGAGGGUGAGAAUCCCGUGUGGCGAGGAGUGCGGUUCUUUGUAAAGUGCCUUCGAAGAGUCGAGUUGUUUGGGAAUGCAGCUCUAAGUGGGUGGUAAAUUCCAUCUAAAGCUAAAUAUUGGCGAGAGACCGAUAGCGAACAAGUACAGUGAUGGAAAGAUGAAAAGAACUUUGAAAAGAGAGUGAAAAAGUACGUGAAAUUGUUGAAAGGGAAGGGCAUUUGAUCAGACAUGGUGUUUUGUGCCCUCUGCUCCUUGUGGGUAGGGGAAUCUCGCAUUUCACUGGGCCAGCAUCAGUUUUGGUGGCAGGAUAAAUCCAUAGGAAUGUAGCUUGCCUCGGUAAGUAUUAUAGCCUGUGGGAAUACUGCCAGCUGGGACUGAGGACUGCGACGUAAGUCAAGGAUGCUGGCAUAAUGGUUAUAUGCCGCCCGUCUUGAACCCCCGAACCA
rnacentral:rRNA from 1 species